AUUGAACGCUGGCGGCAUGCCUUACACAUGCAAGUCGAACGGCAGCACGGGAGCAAUCCUGGUGGCGAGUGGCGAACGGGUGAGUAAUAUAUCGGAACGUGCCCAGUCGUGGGGGAUAACGCAGCGAAAGCUGUGCUAAUACCGCAUACGAUCUAAGGAUGAAAGAGGGGGAUCGCAAGACCUCGCGCGAUUGGAGCGGCCGAUAGCAGAUUAGCGAGUUGGUGGGGUAAAGGCCCACCAAGGCGACGAUCUGUAGCUGGUCUGAGAGGACGACCAGCCACACUGGAACUGAGACACGGUCCAGACUCCUACGGGAGGCAGCAGUGGGGAAUUUUGGACAAUGGGCGCAAGCCUGAUCCAGCAAUGCCGCGUGCAGGAUGAAGGCCUUCGGGUUGUAAACUGCUUUUGUACGGAACGAAACGGCCCUUUCUAAUACAGGGGGCUAAUGACGGUACCGUAAGAAUAAGCACCGGCUAACUACGUGCCAGCCGCCGCGGUAA
rnacentral:rRNA from 1 species